UUAAGAGGUUUAGAUUGGGGCUGCUAACUUUGAUCUGGGGCAGGAAUGCUCCGCCUCUUUAA
rnacentral:tRNA from 1 species